UACAGAGGUCCCGAGCGUUGUUCGGAUUCAUUGGGCGUAAAGGGUGCGCAGGCGGCCGAGUGUGUGAGGCGUGAAAGCCCGGGGCUUAACCCCGGAAUUGCACCUCAAACUACACGGCUAGAGCAUUGGAGAGGGUAGCGGAAUUCACGGUGUAGCAGUGAAAUGCGUAGAUAUCGUGAGGAACACCAGAGGCGAAGGCGGCUACCUGGACAAUUGCUGACGCUCAGGCACGAAAGCGUGGGGAGCAAAAGGG
rnacentral:rRNA from 1 species